AGGGCUGUAGCUCAGUUGGUAGAGCACCGGUCUCCAAAACCGGGAGUCGGGGGUUCGAGUCCCUCCAGCCCUGCCA
rnacentral:tRNA from 1 species